AUCACUACCCACCAAGUUCAUGAUUUUCGAUAUUCUACUUGUGUUUGCUUUAUUCAUUUCUUCCUUUGUACUGCAUCUGCACUCCAUCCUGAUCCAGGUGCCCACCAGCCCAGUUAAGGUCAGCAGCAGCUCCACUCA